AUACGUAGGUGGCGAGCGUUGUCCGGAAUUAUUGGGCGUAAAGAGCAUGUAGGCGGCUUAAUAAGUCGAGCGUGAAAAUGCGGGGCUCAACCCCGUAUGGCGCUGGAAACUGUUAGGCUUGAGUGCAGGAGAGGAAAGGGGAAUUCCCAGUGUAGCGGUGAAAUGCGUAGAUAUUGGGAGGAACACCAGUGGCGAAGGCGCCUUUCUGGACUGUGUCUGACGCUGAGAUGCGAAAGCCAGGGUAGCGAACGGGAUUAGAUACCCCGGUAGUCCUGGCCGUAAACGAUGGGUACUAGGUGUAGGAGGUAUCGACCCCUUCUGUGCCGGAGUUAACGCAAUAAGUACCCCGCCUGGGGAGUACGGCCGCAAGGUUGAAACUCAAAUGAAUUGACGGGG
rnacentral:rRNA from 1 species